AUACUUACCUGUCAGGGAAGAUACCAUGAUCAUGAAGGUGGUUUCCCCAGGGUGAGGCUCACCCAUUGCACUCCAGGUGUGCUGACCCCUGCAAAAAUUAAAAAAAAAAAAAGAAAUUAUUGAAAACAAAAAUACAAUAGUUGUCAGAUUAAGUUUUUUGUUAC